GGAUUCUAGGUUUAAUUAAUUUGUAUCUGAAUAGGAUUCCAAUUCCCUUUCCAUACCCCUAUAAAUAUGUGGCUUGGGCUCACAAUUUAUAAUGAGUUUUCAAAGUAUUCAAAGUGAGUUUUUGAGAGAAUAAUUCAGUCCCACAUCUUGCUCAAAAGUGCCGAAAAUUCUAGUACCUUAAGGGCGAUUCUAGUUGGUCAAUCUUAAGGCGGAUCCGGACGUGCUGUGGACUAUCUACGGAGGGACGACACUUGGAGUCCUUAAGACUUGUUCUUGUUCGGUUCGGGCGCAGCUAGGGAGGGCACGCAACAAAGAGUUUGCAUCUAAAUUAUGCUAUAUGAUUAUGUGUAAAUAAUAUGUAAUCCUGGGUUAAUGGUUGUUUCCGCAUGAUUUAUGUAAUAUCAUAUGUAUCAUAACCUAACAGAUUCUUGUUCCAUAUUUUUGAGGGUUUUCUUUUGGAUUCUUGAUCGAUUUGUAGAAUUUUAUUGAAGAAAUUGGUGAGCUCUUUAAUGGCGACUUCGUCUUCUGAAGAACAAAGUGUUCCGCAACAUCAUGUGCAGAUUACGGGUAGUGGUGGAGUUCAUGUUGCUGCAUUUGUUAAUAGUGCAGGUUGGAGAUGUCAAUGUGAAGUCCGGAUUUCUAGAAUGACAAUGACAAUAAUUCUAUUGGGCUACUGAUAAUCUGCUCAAGUAUUUCUCCUCAGGUAUUUUACAUUUUAACAAGGGAGCUGACAUCAAGCCGUCAACAACUCGCUUUUUUACCACCAAAUCAUUUGAUGUACUUAUUAUGUAUUUUCGGGCUAAUGUAGGAGAAAGAAGUCUAUGUCAAAAGUGUCUUGUGUGCAAAAUAGAAGCAAGUGCCAAUACUAGUCAUUUGUGGUAUUAGUAUUGACAUACUCUAUAUAGGUACUAAAAAUAAUUGUAUUGGGUGAUUUGUCCAAUUUGAUCACAAGACGGUGGAGCUAACAGUAGAACUAAGACUGGGUGUUAGAUCUUUUUUUUUCUUUCUUCGAUUAGUGAA